rnacentral:rRNA from 1 species
ACGCGAGCGUUAUCCGGAGUUACUGGGCGUAACGCGCGUGCAGGCGGUCUGCCACGUCUGAUGUGAAAUCUCCGGGCUUAACCGGGAGAGGCCAUUGGAAACUGACAGGCUGGAGGGCAGUAGAGGUAGGCGGAAUUCCGGGUGGAGUGGUGAAAUGCGUAGAGAUCCGGAGGAACACCAGAGGCGAAGGCGGCCUACUGGGCUGCACCUGACGCUGAGGCGCGAAAGCCAGGGGAGAAAACGGG